AUUGAACGCUGGCGGCAGGCUUAACACAUGCAAGUCGAGCGGAGAUGAGGUGCUUGCACCUUAUCUUAGCGGCGGACGGGUGAGGAAUGCUUAGGAAUCUGCCUAUUAGUGGGGGACAACAUUCCGAAAGGGAUGCUAAUACCGCAUACGUCCUACGGGAGAAAGCAGGGGAACUUCGGACCUUGCGCCAAUAGAUGAGCCUAAGUCGGAUUGGCUAGUGGGUGGGGUAAAGGCCUACCAAGGCGACGAUCUGUAGCGGGUCAGAGAGGAUGAUCCGCCACACUGGGGCUGAGACACGGCCCAGACUCCUACGGGAGGCAGCAGUGGGGAAUAUUGGACAAUGGGGGGAACCCUGAUCCAGCCAUGCCGCGUGUGUGAAGAAGGCCUUAUGGUUGUAAAGCACUUUAAGCGAGGAGGAGGCUACUGAGACUAAUACUCUUGGAUAGUGGACGUUACUCGCAGAAUAAGCACCGGCUAACUCUGUGCCAGCCGCCGCCGUAAAAC
rnacentral:rRNA from 1 species